rnacentral:rRNA from 1 species
GGGUCAUUAGGUUGGUCGUGCCACCGGUACGUACUGGUCCCACUGAUUCCUCCUUCCUGAAGAACCGUAAUGCCAUUAAUUCGGUGUUGCGGGGAAACAGGACUGUUACUUUGAAAAAAUUAGAGUGUUUAAAGCAAGCUAACGCUUGAAUACAUUAGCAUGGAAUAAUGAAAUAGGACGAUCGAUCCUAUUUUGUUGGUUUCUAGGAUUGACGUA